ACGAACGCUGGCGGCAUGCCUAACACAUGCAAGUCGAGCGCCUGUAGCAAUACAGGAGCGGCGCACGGGUGAGUAACGCGUGGGAACCUGCCUAGAGGUUCGGGACAACCGCGGGAAACUGCGGCUGAUACCGGAUGAUGUCCAUGGCGCGAGUCAUGGACCAAAGAUUUAUCGCCUUUAGAGGGGCCCGCGUCGGAUUAGGUAGUUGGUGAGGUAACGGCUCACCAAGCCUUCGAUCCGUAGCUGGUCUGAGAGGAUGACCAGCCACACUGGGACUGAGACACGGCCCAGACUCCUACGGGAGGCAGCAGUGGGGAGUAUUGGACAAUGGGGGCAACCCUGAUCCAGCAAUGCCGCGUGGGUGAUGAAGGCCUUCGGGUUGUAAAGCCCUUUCGGCGGGGACGAUGAUGACGGUACCCGCAGAAGAAGCCCCGGCUAACUUCGU
rnacentral:rRNA from 1 species